rnacentral:lncRNA from 1 species
CCUCAGGGCACAGCCCUGGCUGUCGAUGUGACUGCCCAGGUCACACGCUCUUCAGGGGCCAGGCCAGGAGCUAUGACAGUGCAGUUUGGAGGGGAUGUGGCUGGCUUCAGUGGCACCAGGAAAAGUGGGAAGUAAGGGAGAAAGGGCAAGGAAAGACAGAAAGAAAUCUGGACACUGCAUUAACGGACUGAACCUAGAAACAUAUUUUCAAGUCUCUGUGCUUCCAUCUUUUAGCUGUGAAGGGGAGAUGGCCACUUUGGACCACGAGAAAUAUCAAUAUCAAACGCCCUUUCUUUUCAUGCCCUCACCUUCCUCACCCAGUGUCAGCUCAUAUCAGGGGGCCCUGAGCUUCCUGGAAGGUCACCUUACCAGUCCUCUGCAGGACCGAGGCUGUGUGGACGGAGGCUGUGUGGAUGGAGAUCCCACCAUCACCGAGUUCGGGCAAGUCCCAUGAGGGUCUCAGCUCCUCAUCCGUAACAUCAGGAUGAUAAAGCCUCCCUCGCAGGAUGGCCGUGCGAGUGCCCAGAUCCCAGGAGAGGGCUGGUAAAUGGGCGUUGCCUGCCCCAUCCCUUUCUACCUGCACGGAAAAGGAGAGAUGGCCCAGCCUCAGGUCAUCAGGACCCUUGAGCCAACCCUGCAUCUCAGCCCUGACUCCCACCCAGAAUGCCGGCCUUCCUCACCAAGGGUCUGGCUGACACCUCUGCGAUGCUCAUCACUAGUCACUUGGGAUUCCCUGGUGAUAUGGUUUGGCUGUGUCCCCACCCAACUCUCAUCUUGAAUUGUAGUUCCCAUAAUCCCCACAUGUCAUGGGAGGGACGGGGUGGAGAUAAUUCAAUCAUGGAGCGGUUUCCUCUGUCCUGUUCUCAUGAUAGUGAGCUAGUUCUCACGAGAUCUGAUUGUUUUAUAAAGGGCUUCUUUCUUCGCUGGGCACUCAUUCUCUCUCCUGCCAUCAUGUGAAGAGGGUCUUUGCUUCCCCUUUACUUUCCAUCAUGAUUGUAAGUUUCCUGAGGUCUCCCCAGCCAUGCGGAACUGUGAGUCAAUUAAACCUCU